CCUACGGGAGGCAGCAGUGGGGAAUUUUGGACAAUGGGCGCAAGCCUGAUCCAGCAAUGCCGCGUGCAGGAUGAAGGCCUUCGGGUUGUAAACUGCUUUUGUACGGAACGAAACGGCCCUUUCUAAUACAAGGGGCUAAUGACGGUACCGUAAGAAUAAGCACCGGCUAACUACGUGCCAGCAGCCGCGGUAAUACGUAGGGUGCGAGCGUUAAUCGGAAUUACUGGGCGUAAAGCGUGCGCAGGCGGUUAUAUAAGACAGAUGUGAAAUCCCCGGGCUCAACCUGGGACCUGCAUUUGUGACUGUAUAGCUAGAGUACGGUAGAGGGGGAUGGAAUUCCGCGUGUAGCAGUGAAAUGCGUAGAUAUGCGGAGGAACACCGAUGGCGAAGGCAAUCCCCUGGACCUGUACUGACGCUCAUGCACGAAAGCGUGGGGAGCAAACAGGAUUAGAUACCCUGGUAGUCCACGCCCUAAACGAUGUCAACUGGUUGUUGGGUCUUCACUGACUCAGUAACGAAGCUAACGCGUGAAGUUGACCGCCUGGGGAGUACGGCCGCGAAGGUUGAAACGUCAAAGUUAGUAGUUGGCGNGNGGAGUUAGCGACGAGGCACGACGGAGGAGG
rnacentral:rRNA from 1 species